CAGAGUAGAGAUCUCACUAAGCACGUAACGAUUACUUGCCGUGCUCCAUGUGCCCUUUAAUGCAUAAUCCCAAAUCCCAGAUCACAGAAUUAGCAGCAGCAACCUACAUACUGAUCACAAAAAGAGAAGGAACCUUCCUCUCUCAAAUACUUCAAACCAUUUCUUCUUCUUCUUCUUCAGUUGGCGUUGCUCUGUCGCCUCGCUGCCCGCUCCUCUCAGGUAUUGGGCAUCGCAUUGGUAAAUAAUGUUAAUGGUUAACUUCGAACCCCAUGGCCAUGUAUUUACGUAGGAUUUAUAGAUCUAAAUAAAUAAUUAGAAGACAGGAAAAACAGGUUCAGGGGAAGGUCCGUCCAUUGAUUACGUCGUCUAUUGUGAAAGAGCACAACUGGUAAAUCUGCCAGAAUUAUAUAUAUUUUUCCUAUGGGGUGGGGGGGACCCAAGCUCCUCUUACAAAUCAAUUGAGACUAGAGGAAUAACUGGAAACUUGGUGAUCUAGACAUUUUUUUUCCAAAGAAAGGGAAAAAAGCCCUGGUGUUACACUGAGCACCUGGCCUCUUAUUCUCUCCCGUCUCGACUGCUGUAAAUAAAAGUGAAGGGUGAGAGUCGUGAAACAUUAAGAGCAACAAUGGAAGGGUCACAAGGAGGAGGAUCAGAGAGAGAAAAGUCCAAUUCAUCAUCAUCCACUACCCCAGUAUAUGCUGUCGCUACUUUCUGGAAAGGCCCAUUACAAAGCGUGAUUGGGAUGGAUAGACCCAUCCAACCAGUCUACUCAUGCGUUCCCUUUGCAAUACUACGGCACGAGUUUAUUGGACGGGCCAGACACUAUUUGGAUUAUUUUUGUGAUAACUUAUCAGAUCUCAUGAAGUCUGAUAAGUGAUCCAGCCCAUAUCCAACUUGCGUAAUAUCAAGUUUGCCCUUUAUUUUUGGUUUACAAUUGCUUCUUUCCGUCAAGUUGAUGGAUAUUUUAUUUCCUUCCACCCUUAUAGUAGUCAUUUGCCACAACAAUUUUACAUUGCAUUAGUGAUGAACUUAGAUGGUUAUAUUGUUUUCAUUACAUUUCCGUUUCUCUGUUUUCUUAACGUUGUCGACAUAGUCAACAAUAUUGAUCAACUGCUGUCUUGCAGCUUGAAUUAAACUGGAGAUGCUGAUUAAUCUAGAAGUUGCCUUUAAGAUGAUCUUUGAAAUAAAGUAUCCAUGAUUUGUGAAGACUUUUAUGUUGCAUUUAUUCUUUGAUAGGAUGGCACUAUAAAGAGAUUCAGUGUACAUCUGUUAGGGUCACAACAGAAAAAGAAAAGAAAAGGUUUGUUGUUUGCAUUACUAAAUAUGUUAUUUCAGUCCUUCCAGAUUUUGAUUUAGAGAAAGAAAGGACCAUCCUGGAUGAACAAGGGCUUAGAAUUGUAGAAAAUCAGGAGAACAGCCAGAAAAACCGUAGGAAGCUCGCGGAGAGCACUAGAGGAACUUCUUUUGUGGUUCCUGUAUGAGAUUCUUCUUCUUCAUGCUGUGGUCUC